UUACGGUCACAUCACGUUGAAACACCAGUUUCCUUACAAUCACUGAAUUUAAGCAGCGUCAAGCCUGGCCAAUACCUAGAUGGGUGACCACUUGGAAAUACUAGGUGCUGUAAG